UUAUGAACGUGAUUUUCACAUGGAUGCUGCAGAUCUGAACUCAGACCCCCAUGUUUGCAUAGCAAGCCCUCAACCCACUGAACCACCUCUCCAGCCCUUCGGUGCUCUUAAUUUAAACUCUACCAUCGAGCCGUUCUUCCUGCUAUUUGCCUUAGUAAAAGCCAAUUUCACUAUUGCCCCCACUCAAACCAAACCCGAUGAAGCUUUCUUUUCUUACAUAUACACUUUUGAUUUUUAUAUUUUAAAAAAUUAGGUGUAUGUGUUUGUGCAUGGGAGAUGUGGAUAUGUGCAUAUGUGUGCAGAUGCCUACAGAGGCCAGAGGCAUCUGAUCCCCCCAAAGCUGAGACAAUUGAGAGCUGUGGGAGACUCAAUUCCUCUGCAAAAGCAGUAUGUGGUCUUGACCACUGAGCUAUCUCGCCAGCCCCUGUAAGUAUUUUUAUUUUGAUAGCUUCUUCUUCUUUUUUUUUUUUUUAACAGAAUGCAAUGCCCACCAUGCACACUGUUCCUAGUGCUAAAUAAAAGUGUCCAAAGCCUACAAAACUACUACUUGUCACGGAUUCAGAUUUCUAAUUAGGAGACAGAGGACAGCGGAACACCUGGGUCAGCUGCUGACCAGUGUGGUGAGAGAACACCAGCGCAGGGCAGAGGGCAGAGGCUGAAGGAGGAGGGUGGAACACUGCUGCUUCAUUAGGAGACACGUCGUGGAGAAGGUGGACUUUGUCUAAAGAUCUGAAGGCAAAGAUGAGGUGCUACCUGAGGAAGAGUCUUCUAGAACAAGGGGGCCCAGUGUGCAAAGACACUUGGAGUAGAGGCUCUGGUCUUGGCAAACAUGUGUACUCUAUUCAGUCCCUUAGAGAACACCACGGGCUCGUCAUCUGAAAUACAGCGUCCACCCUCAUUGCUUUCUCUCUUCCUCAGACCACACUUCAAUAAUCACUGCCUCAUUACUUUCAUGGUCUAAUUUCUGGACCCCUAUAUCUUGUCCCCCACACACAUACACUUAUACCCUCUUCAGCAUAGAUGCUAUGUGAUUCUAUUAAAACAAGUCUAUUCGUGCUAGGUUUCAAAGUCUCCCAUGGUUUCACAAAUCACGCCACACAAAUGCCUCGCAUCUUGUCCAUUGCCUGCUCAGCCCCCACCCCCACCCCCUGCCUCUAACCCGUCACUCAUAUGCCUAAACUCGCUCACUCAGCCUCGUCUCCAGUCCUUCAGACUCCUCCUGUUCUACAAGCUUCGGAAGUCAGCAUUUAUCUGGCAUUAAGAACAGCGUGUGUGGUAGCUACUCAAUAGCUCCUUGUUGAAAAGGGUACUGCUCUGUCACUGGAAAAAGCCUUGAGCGUAUGAAUACACAUGCUGUGGUAACUGAGCUCUGUGACAUCCCUCAAUGACCCUUGCCUUCUGGCUGCCCUGCCUUGGUGGACUCUCCUCCCACAAUGGAUCAGAGUGAACCUAUUUGACCCAGAGAUUACAUGAUGGUGUGUGACUUCCCAGAUUAGAUUACAAGACAUAGAACAAUCACUACUUUUUCCUCUGAGGGGCGCCAGUUGCCGUGGGAGCACUCAUCUACCCUGAAAGUGAGUUCAGUGGCAAGUGACUGAGACCUCCAUCCAAUAACCAGUACCACCCCCAUCUAGUAACCAAUACCACUUCCCCAUCUAAUAACCAAUAUUACCCACCCAUCCCCAUUUAAUGACCAACACCAUUUGCCAGCCACUGAAAGAGAUUUGCCUGCUUAUAACUAAGUUUUCAUAUGGCCACAACUUUGGUCAACAUCUUGACUAAAACUUCAUGAGUGACUGUCCAAGGCAGAACCAAUCAGCUGAUGUUCUCAUUUCUGGUACACAGGUAACAUUCGAGACUACCCUUACUGUUUAGUGGUACUGCUUUGGGAGAAAUUUAUACCUGGAUUUACUAUAUGGAAAUGCUGUAUCCGAAAUCUAAAAUGUGAGUAGAAUCCUGCAAUCCAACACUGAGUAAGAACCAGGAGGAUAAAGAUGAAGAUGAAGAUAAAGUGAAAACACUAAACGACUUUGAAGUGACAGCCACUGGGGCUAAUGGGACAUGAGGAAAACAUCACUCUGCAUGAGAAGAAAGGAGAACCUUUUUAAGUACUGAAGAAGAAAUGCAACAAAACAGAAAAGAUCAGUGAAACUUGAAGCUUUUUUUUUUUAAAGAUUAAAGCGAACAAACUUUUACCUAGAUUAGUAAGAGGGAAGAGUCAAAUAAGCAAUUGACAUCAUAAAAUGAAGAAGACGUCACAGUUAGUACUGCAGAAUCACAAAGCCUAAGAGACUGGGGUGAGCAGGAUCUUCAACAAGCCGAACAACCUAGAAGAGAUGGACAGGUUCCUCAGAACGACAGCCUAACAGGAUGGAGCCACAGACAGAGACUGACGGAUUAGUAACCAGUGUGGAGAUGGAAGUAUCUCCAGGACCUCACCCCGGCUUCCCAAUGGUUCCCUGGUUCUUGUGAUCUCAACUGACCUAUUGUAGAUGCUAUAGGAGAACUGUGAGAACUAACUGUUGAUCUGAAAGCAACCAUGAUUUGCUACAGAGGUGCGAGCUUGCACAGAGACCUGUGAAAUCCCACAGAACACAGGAAGUGUCUAAUUCCGCUGGAUCGGGCUGGUGUCAAGGCAGCUGACAGCUUCAGAGCCAAGAGCCUCCAGAAUCCUUUUUGGUAAGGAAUGUCAGCUACAAGGGGAAUCCCUACCUCACCAUCUACACAGAGUUCAAAGGAAAUGCAGAUUUAAUCAUUUGGUUUCUGUGUGACUUUCAAGUCAAAGUGAAACUAGAAUGUGAAUAUCAGAGCGUGUGAACCUUUUUGGUACGAAGCCUGGGUUCCCCUCUUACUGCUGCGGUGUGUAGAGGAUUGUGCAAUGUAAUAGCAGCAUCCAAGAUACACAGGGUCUCUGCUUCGACUCUCAAGAUGACUGCUGAUGCUCGGAGCUGAGCUGCAGAGUGCAGCAGCUCAUUGUUUGGGCCAGGAGUGUGCACGUGAAAAAUGACUCGCCGCACACUCUGCUUCCAUUCUGGUGCUCCGGGAAUGGAUUGACUUCAAAGAACUCUUUAAAAAUUAAAGUUAGGGGGACUGGAGAGAUGGCUCACUGGUUGAGAUUACUGACCGCUCUUCCAGAGGAGCCAGGUUCAAUUCCCAGCACCUAUAUGGCAGUUCAUAACUGUCUGUAACUCCAAGAUCUGACACCCUGAUGCAGACAUACAUGCAAACAAAACACCAAUGCACAUGAAAUAAAACUAAACUUAGAAUGCCACCUAGCAGUAGUGAAACUAAGUUCAAUCCCCAGAGCCAUUAAAUAAAUAUAAUGCAUGUAUAUGCAUAUAUACAUAUACAUAAUCUAUUUAUAAUUUAUAUUUCUCCAUUGGUGAACAAAAGUUAGAAUACAUGUUCAUUGUUAAAAAUAAGAAACAGAACACGGGUGAUGACCAACCUAAACAUCACCAGUGUGGUCUUACACAAAUAGGUUCCCUUUUCUUAUUUCAUUUAGAAACCCACUAAGCAAUUGGUGUAAUACUCCAUUUAGAGCAAGAACACCACAGAGUUGUCUCUGAUAUCCACAUAAAUGCUAUGACAUGCUUGCCUCCCUAUAUACACACAUCAUGUAUGUGUGUGUGUAAACACAUACACACACACACACACACACACACACACACACAGAGAGAGAGAGAGAGAGAGAGAGAGAGAGAGAGAGAGAGAGAGAGAUAUUAAAAAUAAAUCUAGUACCAGAACCUGAGUUUGAUCCCCCAAACCAUGUAAAAAAAAAAUCCAACCAUGUGAUGUAUGCUUGUAAUUCUAGCUCAGGGGAGGGAGAGCCAGGCAGACAGAUCCCUUUGUCUGAAGAAAGAAAGUGGAUGUCUCCAUGGAAGGACACCUGAAGUUAACCUCUGACCCCCACAGGCAUGCACAUGCAUAUGAACAUGUACCCACACACAUGAACAUACACAGGAAAACACUUCUCUUACGCCAUGCAUACCAUAAUUUGUAUAAAAUUCCACCAUAAAGGAGAGCUGGUUUCAGCUUCCUUUAUUAUAAACUAUACUGCAGCAACUAUAUGUGAAUACACAUUUUUUUCUGUUUAGCAUCAAUUUCGUACUAUUAAAUUUUCAAAAAAUUGAAAUUAAGACCAAAUUUCAGUGGUUUUUAAUGUUUCAUAAUUAACUUUGCUUCUUUACCAUGGCUUUAAAAAUAUUUAUAAAGGGCUGGAGAGAUGGCUUAGCUGUUAAGAGCACUUGGCUGCUCUUUCAGAAGUCCUGAGUUCAAAACACCAAUGCACAGAAAAUAAAAAUACAAAAUAAAACCCAACAAAAACCUAUAAGAUACCAAUUAUGAGGACAAACUUGGGGUCUCAAACUUUAUAAAUACUUCUUGAAACAUGCAAGACUGCCUUGGUAAGUAGGCCACUUAACCAGUGGGAAGGGACUGUGUCCGGCUGCCCUCAGCGAAAGGCAAUGGUCUGUGUUCCCAAGGUCACCAGGCCCCUUUGUCCAUUCUUCCCGUUAGCCCCAGGGUGGCCACCUUGGUGAAAUCUCCUAUUUCUGUUUUCACCAUAAUCCAUUUUUAAAUUUGUGUUUCAGGAGAGGCAGCUGAGCCCUGCUUAUUGGUGCUGCCAGAGAAAUGACACUUUUGGGGAAUGAGCCACUCAAAGGAACUUGACUGAAAAGGGAGCAGAAGGAUGGAAUGGCCCCAGGGACCUGUGGUCCUUCCUGAUCCCUUGGUGUUUUGAGGCUCUUUUGAACUCUUUGGAUUCACUUUGAACUAA
rnacentral:lncRNA from 1 species